rnacentral:ncRNA from 19 species
CUCUUAUCAAGAGUGGUGGAGGGACUGGCCCGAUGAAACCCGGCAACCGGCAUUUAUAUGCGUCUGGUGCCAAAUCCUGCAGGUUAGAUUAUUCUAACCUGAGAGAUGAGAG